AUCCACCCAGUAUUUCACAUCUCUCAAUUGCAGCCGUUCACCCCAGACUAUACUCCGGUGUUCUCUGAACUACCGCGAGUGCCGGACCUCGCCGGCGAGUAAACUGAACCAGUGGCAAUCCUGGAACGGCACAUGAUGAAGAAGGGGGGUGCUCCUUUGGUGCAACUGCACGUUCAAUGGGCAAACAUGUCACCGUCGGCCACAACCUGGGAAGAUAAUGACGUCCUUCGCCAUCGGUACCCGUCAGCUUGCAACAGGGAAGAGGCUUCAUCGCAAGAGGGAGGCAAUGUCGCGCCUACAGAUGCUGCUAACGCAUCAGCUGCGGACUGA
rnacentral:rRNA from 1 species